UGUUUUUAUUUUCCACCUCACCUUAUUCAAUGUCUUUUUGUCAACACUACUGUGAAGGAAAGAAGAUUAUUCGUUAUUCCCUUUACUUCGAUAGUUAAUCAAUAGUAGCGGAGCCAGUGCUACUACUAGCUAUGCGACUUGGUUUUGUGGUCAUCGUGCGGGUAUCCUGUGGUGUCACAAUCCAUCCAUCCAGUCAAUCGUGCAACUCCCAGGCCCCACUUGAUCUUACGCUGUUGUCUGUUUUUUAUCGCCUUUGUGCUGCAAAGUUCGUAUGUUCACAGAAGAAAGGCAGCAUGAAAAUAGUAUUUAAUGAGAAAAUAAGCGGAUUCAAAUGGGCUGAAGUUUUUUAAGGAAACGUUUUGUCUGAAGUAUGAACGGAUGUAAAAUCCUGCCCGUGGCAGCAGCAGCAGCUAAAAAAAGGACGAAGAGGAGACGCUCUACAAUAUGAUUCUAUAUUCAUUCAUGUCUACAUAUAUCUAUGUAAGGAGAUCCUGAGAGGAAAAGGCCUUGGAUUGAUGUCUGUUUUCAGCUAUAAAAAUCAUUCACUUGUGUUGACGAGUUCCUUGCUAGCAGAAAGAUCACACGGUUUACAACAAAAACCGAACACAACCACUAGGCGACAAACAUAAAGCGACAAAAAAAACACUGUUAAGGUAAAACCAAGGACUACCUGAGGGUCAUGACUGAUGCUAAAGGCUGGAAGGCAUAAUAAUAGGCAAAUGUAGCUGGGAUUUCUUACUUUGAUACAGCAGUAUAAGUGUAAUAGGGUUUUUAGAGCAAGAUACUUUGUGUUAAUGAUACUGUAAAUCUGUAAAACAUUUUUUAUCAACCUGAAGAUAAUGAUCAUUAUCUUCAGGUUAUUAAGGAAAGGGGAAAUGUUGGGAGAGUGUUCAAUCAAGUUGUUGCAUUACUGUUAAAGUUUUUAUCAAAAAUAUAGUCCCAGUUUCUUUU